UACAGAGGUCUCAAGCGUUGUUCGGAUUCAUUGGGCGUAAAGGGUGUGUAGGUGGCGCGCUAAGUCGGGUGUGAAAUUUCGGAGCUUAACUCCGAAACUGCAUUCGAUACUGGCGUGCUUGAGGACUGGAGAAGAGACUGGAAUUCAUGGUGUAGCAGUGAAAUGCGUAGAGAUCAUGAGGAAGACCAGUGGCGAAGGCGGGUCUCUGGACAGUUCCUGACACUGAGACACGAAGGCCAGGGGAGCAAACGGG
rnacentral:rRNA from 1 species